CGGGACUGGUGCAGCCGGGGUUACGUUUAGGGGGCGGAGGGCACGCAUCACUGCAGGUGCCGCGCUUGUGGGCACGGCGAAAGCGCCCCCUUCGCCCAGGAUAGAAACGGAUAAACGGAAGCGCGUGUGAGUGUGGGGGUGCGAAUUGCCACCUCCAGCCUUGGCUUUCCCGCUCUUCCGAGCGCUCCCACUUCUCACUUUCCCCAAAUCCGCAUUUUCCUUGGCACAGCUCUCCCGGAGCAAGAAGGAGAGGGAGGUACCCGGGGGCAGUGAGAAUGACGUGUGCUGGUGCAGAGAGCGGGUGGGGGGCUGCGGGCCCCGCUCUGUGGACCGGCUCCUAAUCCUCUUGUUUUCGGUACAGUCAGCAGAUGUGGCUUCUUUUAGCUGAAUAAUCGGUUAAAGGAAUAAUAAUUUUUAAAAAGGAGAUCGACCUCACCCAAAGAGGAUGGCGAACGAGAUUAGGGCUGGUAGAUGUAUUGCCUUUCUUUGGGCUGGCCGAAACGCUGAGGAAUGCCACCAGUCUCUUCAAAAGAAGAACAAAAAGAGGAAGACCUUGAGUGGACCCCAGGACAAAGCACUUUGGGCUCGGCAAGAAGGGAUGCGCGGGAGCGCUGACUCGGAACGAGAGUGAUCUCCGGUGCCAAGGAGCGCCCACCCAGCGUGCGGACCUAUGAGGGGAUCCAGCUGCAUUAGACACGAGUGACCUUUUAAAUCUACACCCACCCUUUACCUGCAAGAGGACUGCAGCAGGCGAGUUUCGGAAGGCUGCCUCCCCGAUCCCGGCCCGGAGCGAGGCGGCUCGCCCCUGCGGCACGCCCGGACAGCCUGCGCCCGCACUCAGCCAGAAAGGUAAAGGCGGCGGCGGCGCGCCCUGCCCUGGUAGCCGCUGCCAAGCCCCCGCUGCCCUCCGCGUCCUGUGCCCUGGACUUCCUCCUCCACCUGGUCCCCCUCAGUUUACUGGGCUAAACUGAGGGAAAAAGCCUGGAUCCGAAAGGAUGGGGGAGAACAAAGAGCCUUUGGAAGACGUCGCUGUUAUCUCAUUGUCUGUGUGAUUGGGGGAGCUGCGAGACGGCCCAGGCCCAGAUCUCUGUUUAAGCAGAAAAGAAACUGAUCUUUUAACAAAAGCUAAGGUAAAUUUCUCUUAUCCUUUCUGUCACCAAAGGGGUGGGGAGCAGGGAUAGGUUUUGUGGCUUAGCCAGAGAAGUGAAUAACGGGGUAGAGGCAGACUUUCCAUCAGGCAUAUGCCCAUUACACAUAUAUAUGUACAUUUUCUCUCAUAAUCCUAUGCAUUGCUUACAUUUAUAGGAAAGCAUUUAAACACACACACACACACACACAUCUAUACUCUCUGCACAGGAAGACAAUUUUCUCUUUCCCUCAACUUACAUAAUACCCCCAUCCCUUGUUCCAGUCUUAGAAUGGAGUCCUCUGGGGGCAGCUGCAAAGCACUCUCCCUAGGACAGAUGGAGCCUCCCUUCCUCAUCUACUCUGUGGGUGGUUUUAGAGCUCCAUGAGUCAACUGGGACCAAAGGCUGUGCUGGUGGUAUGUGUGUUUGAUUCACGGGGAUGAGCAUGUCAAUAACAACAGUUUGAGAAUUAUGAUACCUAAUAAAGAUUUUUGUUCUUCCAA